UUUCAGUUUAAGUUUUGACCGGAGUGGGCAAGCUCCAGAAUUCAGCCUUUUAUCAAGUAUCAUAUUUUUCAGGAACAUAACUACAACGUUAAGCGAGGAAUUACUGUACUGCAAUGUUGUAUGGUAGUGAAACAUGGGUGCUGACAGAGGAGCAGCAACUGUUGUCAUGGAGAGGGCGAUGGAAAGAAGAAUUCUGGGAAUUUCAAUCCACGACCGAGUCCCCAAUGAAGAGAUCAGACAGCAGAGUGGAGUGCUGAACGUCGUUGUUGAGAGCAGGCAUAGUAAAAUGCGAUAGGCGGGCAUAUAGUGAGGCUCACUGACAAUCGAUGGACUAGCAGCUGCACUCGGCCAAACUCCAAAGAGAUGGGAAGAUGUUACCAUGAAAAGACAUGGCCGCACAUGGAGAAGGAAGGCCAUGAUACAAGAAGAAUGGAAGACGUGUUGUGAUUGGUGCAAUCGAGACGAGGGCUGAAGGACCAAUCGAUCAAGGUGAUCAAGGUGAACUUCUAGUAAUGAGUAGUCUCAGAAACGUGUUUUGGAAAUUUAAUGAAACAUCUAUAUACAGAAGGAAUACUGCUAAUGUAAUGUGUGGUUUGGUAUUUAACUGCAUUUCUAUUAAAUUUUAUCUCAAACAAGUUUCUACAGAAUUAUUUACAGAACAUUGUACAACGAUCAGCUAUAUUACCAACAUGUUGUGAAAUAAAAAUGGAUAUGACCAUUCUUUCAACAUAGCUUUCCUGACAUAGUUCUCAGGAAAUGUUUAACAACAAGACCUGUAAAAAUGAUUUAGUGUUCAAAGUAUUAUACAAAUUAUUUUGACAA